rnacentral:rRNA from 1 species
GAUGAACGCUGGCGGCGUGCCUAAUACAUGCAAGUCGAGCGAACAGACGAGGAGCUUGCUCCUCUGACGUUAGCGGCGGACGGGUGUGUAACACGUGGAUAACCUACCUAUCAUUCUGGUAUAACUUCGGGAAACCGGAGCUAAUACCGGAUAAUAUAUUUAACCGCAUUGUUCUUUAGUUAAAUACGGUUUUUCUGUCUCUUCUAGAUGUUUCCGCGCCGCAUUAGCUAGUUGGUAAGGUAACGGCUUACCAAGGCAACGAUGCGUAGCCGACCUGAGAGGGGGAUCGGACAAACGGGAAGUGAGACGCGGUCCAGAGACCUACGGGAGGCAGCAGUAGGGAAGCGUCGGAAAUGGGCGAAAGCUUGACGGAGAAACGCAGCGUGAGUGAUGAAGGUCUGCGGAUCGUAAAACGCUGUUAGGAGGGAAGAAAAAGUGUGUAAGUAACUAUGAACGUAUGGACGGAACGUAAAAAGAAAGCCACGGCUAACUACGU